CAUGCAAAACUGAGAUAUUUUAAGAUGUUUUAACUUGUUAACAGCAAACUAAUAUUAUUUAUGGUGUGGUUUUUCAUGUCCUGAGUUGGGGCCUUUUUUUCUGACUGACGGUAACGGUGAUAACAUCGACUGUUUCUAGUCUAGAUUUCGUCGACAAUGUCGGAGGUGUAUUUUGGAGCCUCUUCUUGUGAAUGCCAUAGUAUCGAUGAUACAUCAACUGUUUGUGAUCUUGUGGUCAUGUCGUCUGCAUUGGAGGAGUAAUGGAGUCUUUUCCUGUGAUUGUCGUCGUAACAACAGGAGAUUUCUCCAAGCAAAAACAGGAUCCUGAAUAUGAGGGCAGAAUCAUCAUACAGCCAGCUGUCCGUUUUACAGAAAUGCAGAAUUAGGUUCAUUCAGAUCUUUGUGGCACCAAAUGCAUUGAAAGUCACAGGUCAGCUGGAAUUCUGGAAAGAGGGUGCAAAGAAAAAGGAUCUGCCUGAAUCCCAUCCUGCUGUUUCUCAUCGGAGAGCUUGUCAACUUUGACUGUCAAAAUUACUGAAAUUUAACACAACACAAACUCAUUUUUACUGUUACUAUUAUUUGAUUUUUAUUAACACUACCAGUCAAAAGUUUUUGAACAGUAAGAUUUUUAAUGUUUUUAAAGAAGCCUCUUCUGCUCACCAAGCCUGCAUUU